rnacentral:rRNA from 1 species
GGUUGACCUCGGAUUAGGUAGGGAUACCCGCUGAACUUAAGCAUAUCAA